CUUUUUUUUUUUUUUUGCCUUCUUUACACAUCAGUAUAACUAUACAAUAAUUGCUCCAGUUUGCAGAAGACAACUUAAUAAAAUAUUCAUCAAUGACAGUGGGUAUGGGAUGUAAAGAUAAGAGUCUUAUCUUUGUGGUUGUUUUCCAUAAGUGUGAAUGGAUGAUUGAGUGUGGCAGAGGAGAGACAUGGGCAUGGUGGGAAUGAUGUUCAAUGUCUUAUCUUUGAAGAUUUGCAUGCCUACUUUACAGAAAACACAUUCAUAGCUUUUCCCUACCGUCCA
rnacentral:lncRNA from 1 species